rnacentral:rRNA from 1 species
AUGGGGUCCGGGGCGAGCUCCUGCUGCGGCGGUGCGGAGAAGGUGGGGCACGGCUGCGUGAGCGCGUCGUCGGGGGCGGCGACGGCGGGCACGGGCAGCGGCGGCGGCAGCUCGUGGAGGAUCUACAGCUACAAGGAGCUCCACGCCGCCACGGGCGGGUUCAGCGAGGAGAACAAGCUCGGCGAGGGCGGCUUCGGCAGCGUCUACUGGGGCAAGACCCCUGACGGCGUCCAGAUCGCCGUCAAGCGCCUCAAGCCCAACAACAACAACUCCAAGGCCGAGAUGGAGUUCGCCGUCGAGGUCGAGGUGCUCGCCCGCGUCCGCCACCGCAACCUGCUCGGCCUCCGCGGCUACUGCGCCGGCGCUGCCGCAGACCAGCGCAUGAUCGUGUAUGAUUACAUGCCCAACCUCAGCCUCCUGUCCCACCUCCACGGCCAGUUCGCCUCCGACGCCACCCUCGACUGGCGCCGCCGCGUGGGCGUGGCCGUUGGUGCCGCCGAGGCGCUCGUGCACCUCCACCACGAGGCUUCUCCCAGCAUCAUCCACCGCGAUAUCAAGGCCAGCAACGUGCUGCUUGACUCCGACUUCGCGCCGCUCGUCGCUGAUUUUGGGUUCGCCAAGCUCGUCCCCGACGGCGUCUCCCACAUGACCACCAGGGUCAAGGGCACCCUCGGCUACCUCGCGCCGGAGUACGCCAUGUGGGGCAAGGUCUCAGGCGCCUGCGACGUGUACAGCUUCGGGAUACUGCUCGUGGAACUCGUCUCCGGCAGGAAGCCCAUCGAGAGGCUGCCGUCGGGUGCCAAGCGUACCAUCACCGAGUGGGCGGAGCCCCUCAUCGCUCGCGGCCGGCUCGGUGACCUCGUGGACCCGCGCCUCCGGGGCAUCUACGACGCGGCGGAGCUGGCGCGCAUGCUCGAGGCCGCCGCGCUCUGCGUGCAGGGGGAGCCCGAGCGGCGCCCGGACAUGCGCGCCGUCGUGCGGAUCCUGCGCGGCGAGACUGUGGCUCCUGACGGCGCGGCGGCGGCAGCCUCCAAGGGGGGCAACGACGCCCAGGUCCGGCCUGCGGUGAGGAUGGAGAGCGUCAAGUACGCAGACCACCUGAUGGAGACGGAGAACAGCGUGUACUCCGGCGACGGGGACGAGGACGACCAAGAAGACGAGAAGGAGGCCGCCGACUACAGCAGCGACGAGGUGGAGGAGUACUCGCUGAUGGACGACCAGAGCAGCAUGAACUUCGGGGUGUUCGGCGCCAUGCCCGUGGUGCCGGUGCAGACCAUGCACGACCCCUACGUCAGGAGGUUUGGAGGAAACGGCGUCAAGAUAUGA